rnacentral:lncRNA from 1 species
CUUGCAAACAUGGUUUAAUCAAAUUAAACCCAUGAUCAAUUCUCUUUGUGUGUGACCCAUUGGGUUCCACAUCUAGCCAGCAGUGAGUCCAGGUGUAAUUUAAACUAAUUUGGUUAGAACACAAUCUAGCCGAUUUAGGUCAAAUCAAGCUGAACCAUUUUGAUCAAUCAGAACAGCUUUUAAUUAAUGAUCGAAUUAAACUCUUUCAUUCGAUCAAACUCACAAGACAUGAUUGACAUCUAGCAAUGUAUCAUGUCUAUCUGGAAGAUAUGAAAUUUUAGUAAAAAUAUCAAAAAUACCCUUCAGUAAAAAAUUACCAUGCAACUUGAUCUUACGAUCACCCUGCAUCCCGAAUAUAAGUUUGGGUAUGGAAAAAUGUCAAACCCAAUUUUAUAUUCACAUUUCUCUCGAUCAAAUAAUAAUGAUUCAAUUUAUGAAAUAUUAGAAACUAUUUCUAAUUUUUUUUAUAAUGCUCUGAUCAAAGUCUUCCUGAAUCAUUAUUUGAUUGAAGCAAAUAGGAUGUGAUCUCCUCUUACUAGGAGUGAUCGUUUCCAUA